rnacentral:rRNA from 1 species
AUUGAACGCUGGCGGCAGGCCUAACACAUGCAAGUCGAGCGAGCGGCGGAGGGGUGAGUAAUAUCUGUGAAACUGCCUGAUGGAGGGGGAGACAUACUGGAAACGGUAUCUAAUACCGCAUACCAUCAACUGUGCGCAGAUGGGGUUAGAUAGUAGGUGUGGUAAUGGCUCACCUAGACGACGAUCCCUAGCUGGUCUGAGAGGAUGACCAGCCACACUGGAACUGAGACACGGUCCAGACUCCUACGGUAGGCAGCAGUGGGGAAUAUUGCACAAUGGGCGCAAGCCUGAUGCAGCCAUGCCGCGUGUAUGAAGAAGGCCUUCGGGUUGUAAAGUACUUUCAGUGGGGAGGCGUUACCCGCAGAAGAAGCACCGGCUAACUCCGUGCCAGCAGCCGCGGUAAUAC